CCUUCACAACUAUUAUCUGUGCAUCCAAUUUCACAACGAAAAAAGAAAGCCCUAGAUUUUUGGGGAAAAUCAGAGUGAAUUUCUAGGACAUCUUGGGUUUGCUCAAAACCAUGCAUCCCUUGUAGUGGGAGAAGAAAUCGCCGCCUCGCAAGGAGUCUCAGUGCAAACCCUAUGGCAUUUCACGAGGUCUAUACCCUAAUUUGCAUAUUAGAGUUGUCAACGGUGUCCUGCCUAUUGGUGACUAUUCCUUUGCUGAGAAUAACAAGGUAUGUACAGAGUAACCUCAACUGUUCUCGGAAGUGGCCUCUCUUCUUAUAGAGUUGGAAUUCUUACUUUGUAUUAUCUCAUCUGUGAAUAUCUAGCUUUUCUUAUUUGUUGAUUCAUUCUUUUAAAUUUUUGUGUAUUUGUGGAUGUUAUCAAGUACAUUAACAAAGAGUCUGAGAAGCAUUGACUGAUCUUGUAGCCUGUAGGUAUCAAAUAAGUAUUUUAUUUGUAUGAUCUUGUUUAAUUAAUAGUGAGACUGCUUUUGGAUUCAUUGGCUUAUUUUCUAAUAUUAUUUCUUAUCUACAAUAUAAUGCCAAAUUUGACUGCUACAAAACCUUGACGGGAAGUGUGUAUUGUUAAACCUGGAGGUAUCCAAUUGAAGGUGGCCUGUGCUAAUUCAAAGAAGGCAGCUCAAAGGUUAGUGAAUUAUUAAUUUAUACUUUUUUUACCUAAAGUAGUGUAAUAUGUAAUCAUGAUCAUAACUAUCAUGUUAUUUAUGGGCAUUAUGGCUCCUUUCUGGCUAGAUUUUUCCAUAAACCUGAACAACUACAUUGUUCUGACUAUGGUAGUUGUUCUUAUAAAACUACUAGCAUACUUCUGCUCUAAUCUGCCUCUUACAUUCAAUGUUUACUGCUUUUGAAUAAUUCUAGGUCCAUGAAAGUGCAUUUGGUUCUGUUGGUGAUGAUCAGUCAAUUCUAGGUCCAUAAAGGUGCAUUUGCUUCUGUUUUUCCUUGAUAACAUGUGCCUCUUUCUUAAGCACUGACUGUUAAGUCUAGUUGGCAACUUCCCCAUUUAGCACAUUUUCAGUUCUUAGUACUUAAUUUUUAUUAAACAUAUAACUACUGUGUGUGUGUGUGUGCGUUCGGGCGUCUGUUGUGUGGCAAACCUGCAUGACCUCAUGGAAAGACUGCUUGUGGGUAUGUAUGCAAGCUAAUCUCUUACAU